UGAGUGUCAAUAUUAGGAAUUGGGACAC
rnacentral:piRNA from 1 species